rnacentral:rRNA from 1 species
UACGUAGGGCGCAAGCGUUAUCCGGAAUUAUUGGGCGUAAAGAGCUCGUAGGCGGUUUGUCGCGUCUGCCGUGAAAGUCCGGGGCUCAACUCCGGAUCUGCGGUGGGUACGGGCAGACUAGAGUGAUGUAGGGGAGACUGGAAUUCCUGGUGUAGCGGUGAAAUGCGCAGAUAUCGGGAGGAACACCGGUGGCGAAGGCGGGUCUCUGGGCAGUAACUGACGCUGAGGAGCGAAAGCGUGGGGAGCGAACAGG